rnacentral:rRNA from 1 species
UAGUCCACGCCGUAAACGAUGAGAACUAGGUGUAGCGGGUAUUGACCCCUGCUGUGCCGAAGUUAACGCAUUAAGUUCUCCGCCUGGGGAGUACGGCCGCAAGGCUAAAACUCAAAGGAAUUGACGGGGACCCGCACAAGCGGUGGAGCAUGUGGUUUAAUUCGACGCAACGCGAAGAACCUUACCUGGAUUUGACAUCCUCUGACCACCCUGGAAACAGGGCUUUUCCGACUUGUCGGAACAGAGUGACAGGUGCUGCAUGGCUGUCGUCAGCUCGUGUCGUGAGAUGUUGGGUUAAGUCCCGCAACGAGCGCAACCCUUAUCUUUAGUUGCCAGCACUUCGGGUGGGAACUCUAGAGAGACUGCCCCGGUUAAACGGGGAGGAAGGUGGGGAUGACGUCAAGUCCUCAUGGCCCUUAUGUCCAGGGCUACACACGUGCUACAAUGGUAAGUACAAAGGGCAGCAAGCCGGCAACGGUUAGCAAAUCCCAAAAGCUUAUCUCAGUCCGGAUCGGAGU